rnacentral:lncRNA from 1 species
AUCAUGGCAUUCACCAAUGCUCAUACGAGUUUCCAAUUGAAAACUCAGUGAAUCAGGAAUCUUGAGUCCUUCAACUUUCAGAAAACCAUCUUCCACUUGGCAAUCUAGUGUCAAAUUUCUGGUACAUCCACUGCUCCAGUUAAAGUUUCCCCAUUCUUCGUCAGAUUUCGGCUUGAAUCCCCUCAAACACUCACAAACUGGUGUCUUGUUAAUUUUACAGAUACCAUUGGCACCACACAAGCCAUAAUUGUCACACAAGUCCCGUGGCCCUGAAAUCAUAAGAAUCCAGCCAUCAUUCUCUUCAUUCAUCACAUAGCGUUGAGUUGAUCCUGAGUAGUUCAUGAUUAAUCUUGUGUUUAUUGAUUCUUUGAAG